rnacentral:rRNA from 1 species
GGACCUCGUUCGUCUGAGGGUCGUUAACAGAUCAAGAAAUCGCGUCCCUUUGCUCUCGAAUCAAGGCUUUAAAAAAUGCGCUUCUGGCUGGCAAGCCGGCGCGGUCUUGAGCUCCAAAGGCUUUAAAAAAUGCGCUUCUGGCUGGCAAGCCGGCGCGGUCUUGGGGCACUUGAGCGAACACGCGGGAUAUCGAGAGUAAUCCGCAUCCGUAAGCUACCCCGUGUUAGGGGUGGGGCGAGGACACUAGAUGCGAAUCUUGAAGGAGUCUCUAGAAAGCGGCGUCUUCCUGGAUAACCUUUCCACGUACCGUAGCCCCCAAGGGGCCGCGGCCGGACGGGCCUAGGGUGAGGCGGAACCAGCGGGAAAUCCGCAGCGUUCUGACCAGUAAAUCCCGGCUGUAUUCGCUCGGAAAGCGUGGAUGGGCUCCUGGAAAAUGCUCCGCCGCCGGUGUCGGGCGGGCUCAUAGACUUGAAAAGCGCUUCUGGCUAGUUUAGCCGGCGCGGUCUUGCCCGGUCGUGCUCGAUGCCGAGCCAGCGCGUGCCUGUGCACGCGCGGUAACCUGUUGGAAACAAAGUCAUAUUUGACUCGACCUCAGAUCGAGCGAGACUACCCGCUGAA